AAGUCGUAACAAGGUUUCCGUAGACCAAGUCUCGGGAUACGAUCCUUCUGCAUGUACACUUGCCGAAGCCUUGAAGAGCAGCCCGAGAGGGUGGCAGCGUCGACUUAAACUACGCGUCCGCCUUAAUUGCUAGUCCUCCUCGCCGAGGGCAACACUUUCAAACUGCGGGGGACGCCCUAAAAGAUCCUUGGUACCAAGCGCUCUCUGGAAACGGAGGCGUGGCCGGGCUAGCAGCCUUGGGUAUGGUCAUAAUCCAGGAUAUCGAGCCCUUCGGGGCGACAAUGGGUAAUCCGCAGCCAAGUCCUUCGGCCUCCAGGCCAUGGAUGCUGUCCACAGGCCAAAUGUUAGUGGGUGGAGUUUCGUGCUCCGCUUAAGAUAUGGUCGGGCCUUGCGCGAAAGCGUGGGGAUAAGUACUGCUCAAUGUCGCCACUUUCAUCCCGCUUGCCGUGGGAUGAAACCUGACGAUGCUGCAAGCGAGAAAGCAAAAAACGUUCCGUAGGUGAACCUGCGGAAGGAUCAUUAACGAGAAAGGGUCCUUCGGGGCCCGACCUCCAACCCUAUAUCUACCUACCUCUGUUGCUUCGGCGGGCCCGCCGACGCCUUCACGGGCGUCAGCCGUCGGCCUCUGGCUCUCGAGCGCCGCCGCGGACCAAUUCAAACCCUUUAAUCAAGCCCUUCUGAGAGUAUAUCAAUACUUUAAA
rnacentral:misc_RNA from 1 species